AACCAGCCCUCUCCCCCAACCUCAGCCAACUCCAAAGCAGAUGAUGAAACUUCCCACUACGGCGCCUGAGUCGCUAGUGCUGGAGGGGUUAUCACAAAACUCACAGAAGCACCACAUUGAAAUGAGCAGAAUUGGGCCUAAGGGCUCUGGGUUAGUCUUCCUCCAAAAGAAGCUUAAACAAUCCCAUUGUCAGUCCUGUGGCCUGGCCCUAAGGUCAAGUUUCUAACCCCAUCACAGCAAGCGAGCGCGGACGAGGGCUGGGCACGGUGAACGGGACCAGACGGGAUACCCUGGCGUUCUAGGGUCUGCAGCUGUGUGGCAUUAAGUAGGUCCCCUGCACUGUCCAAGUCUCAGAGUCUCGUUCUGGAAAAUGCCCACAUGGGAGUACUUGAUCUCCAGUCCCAAUGUCCAUGAUUUCGUGACUACUCGGGAAGAGUUUACUCUCUUACCCCACCAUUUCUUCCCUUCGGAGAAGCACUGGUCUCCAGUGACUGGAAGGUGGCAUCCGCCUCUUGGAGGAUAAAUCAGCAGGGGGAGCCUCUCCGAAGGGACAAAACAUAGAGGGAAUUGUACUCCGGGUGUUCUGCUUUCUGACCUAAGAAGAGCUUUCGUUGUCGAACGCCUACUCAGGGUCAAGUACCAGGAGAAUGAUUUUCCCAUUUUACAAACAGAGAAACGGAGGCUUCAGGGACAAAGCGAGCCAAGGAGGCCACGCAUCUGAGAGGAGAUACAGCCCAGAUGUCACUCUUGAGCAACCAUCUUGGUUGGCCAUGCCCCACCCACUGUACUACCCAGCCCUAGAGAGGAGGAUCACACAGAAGCCAUCAAUUUUUAGGGGCUGCCCUUUCUGCCGCUGCUGUGGUGGCAGUAGCUACCUCCUGGAGAGCCCUGGCCUUCCUGAAAACCCGCCCCUAACUGCGCCUUCCUCUGAAGGGGAACAGUGGCCGGAAGGAUGACAGUUGUCAAGGUGAGAUAAGAGCUGGGUCCCCUCCUACUCCCUCCCUGCCGCUGGCCUGACCGAGAUGUGCAGAGAUGCAGCUUUGGACACAGUGGACCAGGAGGGAUUCCCAGAGGGCAAGAAAUGCUCUAGACGCAAGAGGUGCAGGUUCCAGCGUUCACCAGAAGUCACCAGAACCAUGCAGCCUGGACGUGUGGGAAAGUGGAAAGCGUGGAGGCCUGGAACCUGAGCCCACAUCCUGCCUGUACCACUCCUCGCUGGCGGUCAUCUAGCCCCUCUGAACCUCAGACUUUUUUUUUUUAAUAUGAAAUUUAUUGUCAAAUUGGUUUCCAUACAACACCCAGUGCUCGUCCCAACAGGUGCCCUCCUCAAUACCCAUCACCCACCCUCCCCUCCCUCCCACCCCCCCCCAACCCUCAGUUUGUUCUCAGUUUUUAAAGUGAAACUCAGUCUUAAAGCUACUUUGCAGGGCACCUGGGUGGCUCAGUCGGUGGAGCGUCCAACUUCGGCUCAGGUCA
rnacentral:lncRNA from 1 species